CCACAGUGGGACAGGAAGUGAUGAGCACGUGACAGGAAGCCAUUUUUUUCCUCCCCUCGCUGUUAAGGGGGGUGCUGACUGGAGAGUUUGCAGCCUUUGGGGAAUCAGCUGUCAUCCCCCAACAUCCCCCUACCUGGAGCUGGCGAGAAGAGGGAUCAGCUAGGAGGGUGGCCACUCCCACCACUGUGUGCACGGUCAGUUCAUACAAGGCUCACGGGGCCCUCCUUCUCCACCUGCCACUCAAGGUUACCCCCCCUCAUUCCCCCUCCUCUCCACUUCCUGCCGUGACUGGAGAUCAGAGAACUCCAUGCCACAGCUUCCUCUUCUCAAGUCUCGAUUCCUGGGCUGAAGGUUUCGCUGUGGGGCAAGGGACAGAAGGGCUGGGGACCUGCAGCAGGGCCCAAGGGGCAGAUGCUCCAGUGGGAGGGGCCCCCUAAUAGGUAUCUACUCACAGGCACACAAUGAGUAGGUCACCGAGACACACUGAGGCUGCCUGACCUUAGACAACUUUUGGGGGAAGAGGGAGCCAGGGCUAGAGGAUCUAACCAGUACCCCACGCACCCCACAUGGGUCCUAUCGUGAGCCUACCGGUUCAUUUUGGUUUUUCUGGCGGCCUCCAAGCAGGCAAAUUCCCAAAUGCCCAGCCCCUCCCACCACUCCCCUGCCCUUUGUGCUGAGGAAUCCCCGCUCCAAGGUGCCCGCCCAGACGAGGGCACCUUGGCUGAGGUGAGAGGGAAUGGAACCUCCCUCCCCUCCCCUCCCUCCCCUUCUCUGCAGAUGUCCCAGGCUAUAUUUAGCUCAAACCGGGCGGCCAGCCAGCCCCAGACUCCCCACCGGCCGAGAGCUGAGCUCCCAGUUUUUAUGCAAUUAAAACAUUAAGAGAACCACCCCAUCUGCCCCCCAUGUACGUGUACACACACACACACAUACACAGAAAGAGAGAGAGAAAGAGAGAGAGAGAGAGAGAACCCUGUCAAGGCAGCAGAGCUCUAAGAACUUCAAGGAGGGCUGCCUGACUCUACGGCAGCCUAUGAUAGGGUAAAGGGGUCCCUCAGGCAGGAUAGGAGCAUCAGAACUCCAAUUAGGUUGACAUGGGGGAGGUGGGGGGAUGUGCUUUCCUAGUUCCAACCAGGAAGGCAUAUCCAGUGGAGGUGGGGGGCUGGCUGCAGAAAUUCCACCUGUCAUUUUGCAGCCCCUCACUGGCCAGCUCCAGUUACAAGGCUGGGGUUGGCAACAGGUGCUGGCCAGGCUGGCAGCAGACUAAUCCCCCAUCAGCUCCUGGGAGCCUGGAGGUCCAGCAGGGGGCUUUGGGGGCAGAUGCUAAAUGGAAGGAGGUAUCUCAGAGCAGUCUCAGGACCUCUGCAGGAGGCAGCCCCUAAGUGAUGGAGGAAGCAGGGAAGCCAGGCAAAACCUACAAACACCUAUUUCAUCUUCCCUGUGAUGCCAGGCCGGCGGGCGCACUAGAGUCUGGGAGGUCUGUCUGCCUGCCUGCCUCUUCCUCCUCCUUACUAAAUUCCUGGAACAGGCAAGGGAGGUUCCAGUUGCAAAGAGAAGAGAAGGCAGGCGGUCCCAGCUUUGGGGAGGGGGGGGAGAUCCAAGGAGGGGUGUGGGGACCAGAGAGGGAGGCAAGAGCCAGACAAGAGCCAGACGAAGCAAGAGACACCCACACCCUAACCAGACUAGGGACACACACACACCCACACUGACAUAUUCUCACACUCUGGGCCAGGUCCCCCUCACGCCUCCCACCCUGCAGGGACACCCAGACACCCUCAACUCAUCUUGCCAAUUCCCAGAACACCUCCUUAGACACACAAGGAGAUCCAGACCCUGCCCUGCCCUGCCCCCACAGCCCACAGAAAGCGUGUGGGCUCCAGACAGCAGCAGGAGGGCGGGUGGAGGGAAACACAGGAGGAAAAGACAGCAGGCGUCAGCUAGGAUGUGUAGCCAAAGCCUCUGCAAGCUGGGGGUAUCAGUGGCUAUGCUUCUUUCUCAAGACUUGGUAAGUCAAGACAACCUCGGUCAUCUUGCCAGAGGCUCUUGCCACAGCUUCCCACACUCUCAAAACCACCACCACCAGCCAGGGGUGGGGUGCUGGGAGCAAAUCAUUGUACUUACUUGUCAAAGGGAUGGGAUUGCCUUCCCCAGCCACCAUCACCCUACAUCCUAGGCAGUGCUCCCCAGCAGACCGUAGGGAGGACUCAGCGCACCAGGGCCCCCUCCAAUUGAGAAGGGGUCCCUCUCUGCUCAGGCAUCCCCGGGGGCAUUAAGGCUAUUCCGAGCCCUGCCCGCAUGACGCCUAACUCUGAAGACUAUCCAUCUAAAACCCCAGUUCCUGAACAGAGUCACCUGGUAAGAAAAAAACGCAGAAGGCAGAGCCAGCUUCAGAGAGCAAACGGUUAACGGAAGCGUCCGUGUCAGUGUCCCCCCCACCCCCACCCAAGCAGACCUGAAGGCUACUCAAGUGUCCUCACCCCCUCACUAGACAGGCUGACAGGAACAACGUCAUGGCGUGUGUGGGUGACUGUGCCCACCGGAGGAGGCACAGGGGUGAUCAGGAUGAGCUACAGCUAGCUUCCUGCCAGGCUGCCACAUGGUUAAGAGGAGGAGGUGAACCAGAGAGGGAUCCCAGAGUGGCAGCAGGUGCAUUCAGGGUCAGAUGAGAGAGAGAGAGAGAGAGAGAGAGAGUCAGAGCUGUGGCAGGCAAGGCCCAGCCCGGGGGGCUUCACUGAACUGCGACCAGCUCCUGCAGUGUGGGUCUUCUGCAUACACCACAGGUUCACACCCUCCAAGUGCCUGCACACCCACCAUCGUAGGCUCCCAAGGGCCUACUUGAGUCUGACCCCACUGACCGCUCUGCUUCCCAGCCCAGCCUCCCAGGCAGCAGUGAUGUAUAUGCCAACCCCUCCCAGUGCAUCAUCUUUCAGAGACACAAACUCUGUGACUCCACAUCCCCCCCUAUUCCUCAGGAGAAAGAGCUACAUAGAUAACUCCAGAACCUCUUCUUGCUCCCUCCCCCUACUCAUCUCCACCCCUCCAGGGGAAGCCCCAAGGCUCCAGGCCACCCCCACUCGAAUCUGGGCCUUCCGUGCUUCAUCUCCAUACAAAGCCCUGGAGGAGUAAGAGGAGUUUGGGGGUCUGAACCCUAAUUUCCUCACAGGACAUCAGAGUCCUUACUGGAUAAUAUCCUCCCCCGCCACUCCCCCACUCGCGUGCCCCAAGUUUUGCCUUGUGAAGAUAAAAGAUGACAAAUCUGAGUCCCAUCCCCGGGCUGAUGGGGUGAUCAAGGGCAGAACUGAGAGCAAAGGGUAGCAAUUCUGUUGGAAAACAUCCACACAUACAUGUGCACACGGUCCACAGGUAGAAGGUAGCCAUCUGGCUGCAACAUCGGGAGCUGGCAUCAGGUUUCAAGAAGUCUUUUUGUUUGGUUUGGGUUUGAAGAGAAAAGAGAGUUCCCAGCAGUAGAUCCGCCACGACUGGAGCGCCGAGGACACGCGCGGCAGGCGGCCGCAGAAGCCUCAAGGCUGUGCGCGCGAAGACGCGGCGCAGACGGGGCUCCCCAACCCCGGACACGCCAGCGGCAGGCUGGGAAGUCCAGGAAACCCCAGGUCCCCGUCGAAACUGCCGGGCACCCAGUCCCCGCCCGCAGUUCCCAUCCAGAGUGGGCCACCGGGCCCCGAAGUGUGAGAGAAUCGAGGGUUCCCCAGGGUUCCAGGGGAGAGGUUACCUCGAAGCGAGGGGAUGCAACCCGUCUGCGUGUCUGCGGGCACAGGGUCUGCCCCAAGCAGGCGCCGCGGCGCUGCCCGGCGUCAGGGGUGUGGGGUCCUCCGAGAGGAGCCGUCCGGGGGGCCGCAGCUCAGGGGCGCGGGGCGACGGCAGCGGCCAUGGCGAGUCACGUGCAGAGGCUGAAACUUUACCCGGAGCCCUAGACUGGGGGGGGCGGAGGGUAUGGAGCUGGGGUGGGAGGGAGGCCCCCCUGCCGCAGGCCCGCCCCUGCAUGCCACGGGCCAAUCACUAACCGGGGGCGGGUCCUCAUGCUCACACCCGCCCCUCUCUCCUUAAUAGACCCAGGGAAGGGCGAGUCUUAAAGGAGACGCUUCCAGCUAGUGGCCGGACCGUGGGAAUCUGGGAGAAUCCCUCCCUCAACACGCCAGAAAGAGAUUCGGGGUGUGUGUGUGUGGGGGGGGGGGCGGUGUGAAGUUCAGAGAAAAGAAUAAAUUACGACUCGGCGGUGAACGAACCUCAGGGUGCGGGAUCCUACACACACUCCCUUUCCCCACCCCCCACCCCGCUACACGCCCACACUCACAGAGACACACACACAUCACACACACCUACCAAACCUGGGAAGAAAGGAGGUGGUGUAAUAUGGAGAACGCACUGACUCCUGCCCCAGCUGUCAAGUCUCUGUCUCUCCUAAUCACAAUCCUCCGGGGCCAGCUGAAACUGAAAGCUAUCUGACCUUGAGCAAAACACUUGGCUCCUCUGGACCUUAGUAUUUCUCAUCUGUAAAGCCGAAGUACAAAGGGAAGACCGUCUUCUCCAUAGAACAUCCUUCUUUCCCAAACACCUCUCCGGCUUGAGUAGGUUAGAGGAAAUUUCUAGCUCAACUGAAUCCCUUCGAGUAGCUAGAAAUAUGGUCACCCCAAGCCAGCUCUUUGGACGGCCUGGAGUCGCUCUCCAUUCUAGAAGACCCACUUGAGGGCCGAGGGCAGUUCAUACAUGUUCCAGGAGGACAGGAUCUGAACCACACUCCAUCUCCAGACCUCAAUUCCCAACUGUCACAAGCCCCCUCCGGGCCAGCCGGAGGUUAAGGUUUCCACCUCUAACACUGCACUGGAGGAGGGUGAGUCCACUAUGCAGUGCCUACCUCACCCGAGUUCCCGGGCAGAGAAGUGGCAACUGCCCCCCACAGGACAUCCCACUGGCAAGGGAAGUGCCACACACCCAGGCCUCCACCCUGGGGACGCUCAGUCUAAUCCGAUGUCCGGAUUUUCAGACUAAGAACAGGAGGUCCGAGGCCCAUAUGGGAUUUUGUCCACGGUUGCAUGGGUGUCUGAACCGGGCCUAGAACUAGAAUAUCUGCUUGUCUCUCUGUGGCUUUGCUCUGGCGGCCUUGGAAGGUAGGUAGCACAGCUCAGGUCCGUGGGACACUCUGUCCAGAGGUCGGACGCAAGGGAAAACUCCGCAAAGCGGUGCAGCGCUUCCCCAGACCCUUGCCGCCCCGCUGGGCUAGCGCAGUCUCCCGCUCCCGUCUGGAUUUCCGCCGGGGCGAACCACCCGCCCAGCCCCUCUCUUGCCGCCCCGCCCCGAUCUGUCCCGUCCAGAUCCAUCCACAAACAUGCGCUCAGCAGGCAAGAAUGCGUCAAUGGCUCCCAGAUGUGGAGGCCGCCGCUUAACCCAUUCCCUUCCACGCACCCACUCCCGUGCCCCCGUCAAGCCUUCCAGCCAGAGCCCCACCAUCAUCAGGAGCCUCCAUACAAGUGAGGAACCUACCUGGCUGAGAGGGUAGCCUAGGGCCAGUUCACCUCUAGUUUCCAUAGGCUCCUCUAGCCUAGAUCCUACCAGAUAGGUGCAUGCACAGAGUUACACUGCCUCCCUCCCACAUGGGCAGCCUUCAGACACACCUGCGGGCAUAUGGAUUCAGGUACACUUUUUUCAGGUACUUUUUCUUCUUCUUUCUUUCUUUCUUUCCUUCCUUCCUUCCUUCCUUCCUUCCUUCCUUCCUUCCUUCCUUCCUUUCUUUCUUUCUUUCUUUCUUUCUUUCUUUCUUUCUUUCUUUCUUUGUUCUUCUUCUUUCCCCUUCUUUCUUUCUUCUCCUUUCUUCUUUUUCUUCUUCUUUCUUCUUCUUGGACAGGGGUUCAGAAACCUCUGUGUAGCCCUGACUGUACUGGAACUUGCUCAGUAGACCUGGCUGGCCUUGAACUCAGGGGAUCUGUGCCUGCCCUGCCUUCUGGGUGCAGGGUAGGAUUAAAGGUGUGUGCCUUA